rnacentral:rRNA from 1 species
GCUGACGAGUGGCGAACGGGUGAGUAACACAUCGGAACGUGCCCGAUCGUGGGGGAUAACGCAGCGAAAGCUGUGCUAAUACCGCAUACGAUCUACGGAUGAAAGCGGGGGAUCUUAGGACCUCGCGCGGACGGAGCGGCCGAUGGCAGAUUAGGUAGUUGGUGGGGUAAAGGCUUACCAAGCCUACGAUCUGUAGCUGGUCUGAGAGGACGACCAGCCACACUGGGACUGAGACACGGCCCAGACUCCUACGGGAGGCAGCAGUGGGGAAUUUUGGACAAUGGGCGAAAGCCUGAUCCAGCAAUGCCGCGUGCAGGAAGAAGGCCUUCGGGUUGUAAACUGCUUUUGUACGGAACGAAAAAGAUCUCUCUAAUACAGGGGUCUGAUGACGGUACCGUAAGAAUAAGCACCGGCUAACUACGUGCCAGCAGCCGCGGUAAUACGUAGGGUGCGAGCGUUAAUCGGAAUUACUGGGCGUAAAGCGUGCG